rnacentral:ncRNA from 1 species
CUAACGCACACGCAAGUCAGACGGUUUUCUCCGAACACACCCCGUGGCGCAAUGAAAGUGAGGGCCGGCGCACGCCGGCUGAGGUGGGAUCCCGGCCGCGCACCACCGGCCCAUCUCGCCCGCUCUGUCGGGUAGGUGGAGCGUGAGCGCAUGCAAUAGGACCCGAAAGAUGGUGAACUAUGCCUGGGCAGGGCGAAGCCAGAGGAAACUCUGGUGGAGGUCUGUAGUGGUCCUGACGUGCAAAUCGGUCGUCCGACCUGGGUAUAGGGGCGAAAGACUAAUCGAACCAUCUAGUAGCUGG